rnacentral:rRNA from 1 species
CCUACGGGAGGCAGCAGUGGGGGAUAUUGGACAAUGGGGGGAACCCUGAUCCAGCGACGCCGCGCGAGUGAAGAAGUAUUUCGGUAUGUAAAGCUCUAUCAGCAGGGAAGAAAAUGACGGUACCCGAGUAAGAAGCUCCGGCUAAAUACGUGCCAGCAGCCGCGGUAAUACGUAUGGAGCAAGCGUUAUCCGGAUUUACUGGGUGUAAAGGGAGCGCAGGCGGUCUGGCAAGGUUGAUGUGAAAUACCGGGGCUCAACUCCGGGAC